GGAGCUUCUGGGCUGCAGCUCCUGGAGUUUUCGAGGUUCGUGCGUGUCUGGUGGCGGCGGCGUGAUGUUCUCGGCAGGAGCGGAGAGUUUGCUCCACCAGGCCAGGGAGAUCCAGGACGAGGAGCUGAAGAAGUUCUGUUCCCGGAUCUGUAAACUGCUGCAGGCGGAGGACUUGGGGCCGGACACCCUCGACUCCCUGCAGAGGCUCUUCCUCAUCAUCUCAGCCACGAAGUACAGCCGGAGGCUGGAGAAGACAUGCGUAGACCUGCUGCAGGCCACCCUCGGCCUGCCUGCAUGCCCCGAACAGCUCCAGGUGCUUUGUGCCGCCAUCCUGCGAGAGAUGUCCCCCUCUGACAGCCUCAGCCUGGCCUGGGACCACACGCAGAACAGCCGGCAGCUGAGCCUGGCGGCCUCCGUUCUCUUGGCCCAGGGUGACAGAAACGAGGAGGUCAGAGCCGUGGGCCAGGGCGUGCUGCGAGCGCUGGAGAGCCGGCAGCCUGAGGGACCCAGCCUCAGACACCUCCUCCCCGUCAUGGCCAAGGUCGUGGUCCUCAGCCCGGGCACCCUCCAGGAGGACCAGGCCACCCUGCUCAGCAAGCGGCUGGUCGACUGGCUGCGCUACGCCAGCCUCCAGCAAGGGCUCCCGCACUCCGGCAGCUUCUUCUCCACGCCCAGGGCCCGGCAGCCGGGCCCCAUCACCGAGGUGGACGGGGCAGUAGCCACAGACUUCUUCACGGUGCUCUCCACCGGCCACCGCUUCACAGAAGACCAGUGGCUGAACGUGCAGGCCUUCUCCAUGCUGCGGGCGUGGCUGCUGCACAGCGGCCCCGAGGGCCCAGGCACCCUGGACACAGAUGACAGGUCAGAGCAGGAGGGCUCCACUCUGUCGGUGAUCUCCGCCACCUCCUCUGCCGGCCGCCUGCUGCCGCCCCGGGAGCGGCUUCGGGAGGUGGCCUUCGAGUACUGCCAGCGCCUCAUUGAGCAAAGUAACCGACGAGCCCUGAGGAAGGGGGACUCCGACCUGCAGAAAGCUGUAAGUGGCUGGGGACCAGGGGAUGGGAGGCAGCGACUCGGCCCAUUUGAUGUGGUCCACGUCCCGCAGUGCCUGGUGGAGGCUGUGCUGGUGCUGGACGUGCUGUGCCGGCAGGACCCGUCCUUCCUGUACCGAAGUCUCUCCUGCCUGAAGGCCCUGCACGGGCGGGUGCGCGGGGACCCGGCCUCUGUGCGGGUGCUGCUGCCCCUCGCCCACUUCUUCCUGAGCCACGGGGAGGCAGCUGCAGUGGACUCGGAAGCCGUCUACCAGCACCUGUUCACCAGGAUCCCGGUGGAGCAGUUCCACAGCCCCAUGCUGGCCUUUGAAUUCAUCCAGUUCUGCAGGGACAACCUCCACCUGUUCAGCGGGCACCUCAGCACCCUCAGAUUGAGCUUCCCCAACCUCUUUAAGUUCCUGGCCUGGAACAGCCCACCCCUCACCUCCGAGUUUGUGGCACUCCUCCCGGCCCUGGUGGACGCUGGCACAGCCCUGGAGAUGCUGCACGCGCUGCUGGACCUGCCCUGCUUGACGGCGGUGCUGGACCUGCAGCUCAGGUCAGCACCGGCUGCAUCCGAGAGGCCACUCUGGGACACCUCUCUCAGGGCCCCCAGCUGCCUGGAGGCCUUCCGGGACCCGCAGUUCCAGGGUCUUUUCCAAUACCUGCUGCGCCCCAAGGCCAGUGGCACCACUGAGAGGUUGGCGCCACUCCACCAGCUGCUACAGCCCAUGGCCGGCUGUGCCCGCGUGGCCCAGUGUGCCCAGGCCGUGCCCACGCUGCUGCAGGCAUUCUUCUCAGCAGUGACCCAGGUGGCUGACGGGUCCCUGAUCAACCAGCUGGCGCUGCUGCUCCUGGGCAGGAGCGACUCGCUCUACCCGGCCCCAGGGUACGCUGCCGGUGUGCACAGGCCUGAUGCAUGCAGGCCCAUCCUGGUUCCACUCUGAGCCCGGGCCUUAGGCCAGCGCUGGUGCCAGCCUUCUCCCCAGUGAGGAGGACAGUUUCUCUAGGGCUGGCAGUCGUCUGUGUCCCUCUAUCGGAGGGUGCAGCAUACACCUACCACUCAGACGCUUCCCGGGUCCCUCCAGGCCCUUGGCCUGAAUGGGGUGGCCAGGAUGGGGAUGGGGUCAGAGGUCUGCACAGAGCAGGCGUGGACCCGGCUUUCUGCGCAGUGUGCUGAGUUCUCAGUUCCUGGCCCUGUGUACGCUGAAACCCUCCCUGGUGGUGGAGCUGGCAAGAGACCUGCUGGAGUUCCUGGGCAGCGUGAAUGGUCUCUGCAGCAGGGCGAGCCUCGUCACCAGCGUGGUGUGGGCCAUCGGCGAGUACCUGUCGGUGACCUACGAUCGGAGGUGCACCGUGGAGCAGAUCAACAAGUUCUUCGAAGCCCUGGAGGCCCUGCUAUUCGAGGUCACCCAGUGCCGCCCCUCUGCUGCCCUGCCCAGGUGUCCCCCCCAGGUGGUCACCGUGCUGAUGACCACGCUGACGAAGCUGGCCUCCCGGAGCCAAGAUCUGAUCCCCAGGGCCUCUUUAUUGCUGUCAAAGAUGAGGACCCUGGCUCACAGUCCAGCCACCAGCUCCACGCACAGCGAGGAGGGCGCAGAAGCCAUCCGUACCCGGGCCACAGAGCUGCUGACCCUGCUGAAGAUGCCCAGCGUGGCCCAGUUUGUGCUCACACCCAGCACGGAGGUGUGCAGCCCCCGCUAUCACCGCGAUGCCAACACGGCCCUGCCCCUGGCCCUGCGCACGGUCAGCCGGCUGGUGGAGAGGGAGGCCGGCUUCAUGCCAGGGUGAAGGGACAGUGGCCAGGGACUUCGGUGCAGAUUAAGAGCCUGGGGCGGCCAGCUUGCUACUGAGGCCAGGCUGAUAGGAGCUCAGGAGGCAAGGCCCACGGUGGGCUUGGCACCCUCAGAGACACGCGGGGCUGGCCCCCCUGCUCACCCUCUGGGCUUUGUCUCCGAGCCUUUUGCUCCCAGGCAACACUGAGCUGAGCUGAGGGGAACCAUGGAGCAGCUCUGAUUGGAGGCUUGAGGCCCUGUGGCUGGGUGGAGGCUGCUGGGUCUGUUUCCUAGUCUUUUGUUUUUGGACAGUUGAUGGGCAAGAAGAGCUGCAGUAAAAGUAAAUCUCCUUUAAUAAGCGUCUGUGUGAAGAGUGCGCGAUCAGUUCCGUUACCUGCCCUGCACCCUGGGGAGAGGACCAGGGAUGGGAACCCCUGGCAGCUGCUGCCAGUCCUGGAGGCUCAGCCCGGCGUGCCACUGCUGCUACAGAAACCAGGUCAUUUGUGCACAGCCCAGAAGGCAGCAGCGCGAGUUCCCGGGUGUGGUCACCGCUCUGGGUGGUGCGCUUGUCAGUGCCCCUUUUGAUGCCCUUGAAUAGCCUGAAGAUGAAGGGGACCGGGGGAGGGUUGCAAGCGCCAUCGCCUAUGCAGGCUGCGGCCUCUGGCCAUUCGGAGGGAAGGCCCCAGGGAGCCACCUGCGCCACCUGAGUGGAGCUCAGAACACUGGAUUCGCGCGAAGGGGAGGUGUUUGAGCGUGCUGCCCCAGCCCCGCCACCUUCCUGGGCCCUGUGGUCCCACCCGCCGGACUACCAAGGCACAGCUGCGUCCCACGUUCCGCCCGGUGCCUGGGACGGGCUCAGCCGCCAGGGGGCGCCGCCGCCCCGAAAGCCUCACGCCCCGCCCCCAGGCUCAAACUCUCCCCCUCCCCACUCUGGCUCCGCCCCCGGCCCACUCUUUUGCUGUGGCCCCGCCCACCUCCCCUCCGGCCUCGGCCCCGCCCCCAAUCCCCCAUAGCUCCGCGGCUAAGAAACCACACGCUGAAGGCGACUGCAGGGUCCUGCCCCUUGCCCAGCCUCAGGACUAUGGAGGGGGCGAGUGACGCGCAAGGAACGGAGCAGGGGACACCGUGUGGGCUCAGGAGCUCCCCAGAUGCCCGAGCCGAACCGCGGGGUCCUCACCGCCAGGUUCCAGCCCAGGAAGCGCUCGCCUGCCCCACAGCCUGGGCCUUGGGUCGCGUUCCGAGCUCCAGGACGGGUGGUGUCCCCCGCGGCCUGCGAUGACAGCCCAGGGCCGCUGAGCCGGGGCCGCAGGAAAGGCUGGCGCUUCCGUCGGCAGCACUGUGUUUGUGUUUCCACGUGGAAACAGCAGCGCACGUGUAGAACUGUGCAUACCAAGGCGUGCGUGCACACGUGCAUGCCAGUGCGCGGGUCUUGGGAUCACUUCCCAGUGCGGUGCACGACCCCGCCUGCAGCAGGGGGUGUGGGGGCGCUGCUGGGCUCAUCCUGAAGCUCAGAGAGCGCGGGGCUGCCCCUAGCCUCGGAAUGAGUCUCCCACUGAGUCCGCAGCUCCCCUCCUGCCCUGGGGCGGGGCUUCCCUGACCUGAAGGCGUCGGGGGUGUCCUGGCUCCCAGCUCCCAGGCACUCGUGGGGCCACCGCCCAGGCCAGCUGGUGCUAAGUCCGCAGCCCGUGCAGCUGCGCCAGGCUUAGGACUGGGAGUGUGACUUGAAGGGCCGUCCCGCUCAUCCAAGUGACAAGAAGGAGCUCAUGGCCACAGGGCCUCGGAGGGCAUGACCCCAGCCCAGGCAUGACCCCAGCAACCUUCAGGUGGCCUCCAGGAGGCAGCUGGGAAAAGGGCAAAGCUCACCAGCUCUCAACUUUUUUUUUAAAUAAACUUUGAAAUUUUAGAAUAGUUUCAGAUUUACAGAAAAGAUGAUAAACCUUAGAAACAUUAUAUGCUAAGUGAAAGUGAGAAGUGACAGCCUGCUGGCAGUCCUCACAGACCUCGCUCGCUCUUGGCGCCACCUCUGCCUGGGCUCCCACUUUGGCAGCACUUGAGGAGCCCUUCAGCCCGCCACUGCACUGUGGGAGCCCCUUUCAGGGCUGGCCAAGGCCAGAGCCGGCUCCCUCAGCUUGCGGGGAGGUGUGGAGGGAGAGGCGCGGGCAGGAACCAGGGCUGCACGCGGUGCUUGCGGGCCAGCGCGACUUCCGGGUGGGCGUGGGCUCGGUGGGCCCCGCACUCGGAGCCACCGGCUAGCCCCGCCAGCCUGGGCAGUGAGGGGCUUAGCACCUGGACCAGCAGCUGCUGUGCUCGAUUUCUCACUGGGCCUUAGCUGCCUUCCUGCGGGGCAGGGCUGGGGACCUGCAGCCCGCCAUGCCUGAGCCUCCCCCCUCCCCUCCGUGGGCUCCUGUGCAGUCCGAGCCUCCCCAACGAGUGCUGCCACCUGCUCAGGGCACCCAGUCCCAUCGACCACCCAAGGGCUGAGGAGUGCCUUUGGAGCAGGGCACGGGACUGGCAGGCAGCUCUACCUGCAGCCCCUGUGCAGGAUCCACUGGGUGAAAGCCAGCUGGGCUCCUGAGUCUGGUGGGGACUUGGAGAACUUUUAUGUCUAGCUCAGGGAUUGUAAAUACACCAAUCGGCACUCUGUAUCUAGCUCCAGGUUUGUAAACACACCAAUCAGCACCUUGUGUCUAGCUCAGGGUUUGUGAAUGCAAACCAAUCAACACUCUGUAUCUAGCUACUCUGGUGGGGACUUGGAAAACCUUUUUGUCAACACUCUGUAUCUAGUUAAUCUGGUGGGGACAUGGAGAACCUUUGUGUCUAGCUCAGGGAUUGUAAACGCACCAAUCAGCGCCCUGCCAAAUCAGACCACUGGGCUCUACCAGUCAGCAGGAUGUGGGUGGGGCCAGAUGAGAGAAUAAAAGCAGGCUGCCCGAGC
rnacentral:sRNA from 1 species